rnacentral:rRNA from 1 species
AUUGAACGCUGGCGGCAUGCCUUACACAUGCAAGUCGAACGGCAGCACGGGAGCUUGCUCCUGGUGGCGAGUGGCGAACGGGUGAGUAAUACAUCGGAACGUACCCAGUAGUGGGGGAUAACGCACCAAAAGGUGCGCUAAUACCGCAUACGACCUACGGGUGAAAGCGGGGGACCGUAAGGCCUCGCGCUAUAGGAGCGGCCGAUGUCUGAUUAGCUAGUUGGCGGGGUAAUAGCCCACCAAGGCGACGAUCAGUAGCUGGUCUGAGAGGACGAUCAGCCACACUGGGACUGGGAAACGGCCCAGACUCCUACGGGAGGCAGCAGUGGGGAAUUUUGGACAAUGGGGGCAACCCUGAUCCAGCAAUGCCGCGUGUGCGAAGAAGGCCUUCGGGUUGUAAAGCACUUUUGUCAGGGAAGAAAUCUUUCAGGCUAAUACCCUUGGAAGGAUGACGGUACCUGAAGAAUAAGCACCGGCUAACUACGUGCCAGCAGCCGCCGUAA